GACGAACGCUGGCGGCGUGCCUAAUACAUGCAAGUCGAGCGGACGAAUCGAAAGCUUGCUUCUGAUUCGUUAGCGGCGGACGGGUGAGUAACACGUGGGCAACCUGCCCUGUAGACGGGGAUAACACCGAGAAAUCGGUGCUAAUACCGGAUAACACGAAAUGUCGCAUGACGUUUCGUUGAAAGACGGCGCAAGCUGCCGCUACAGGAUGGGCCCGCGGCGCAUUAGCUAGUUGGUGAGGUAACGGCUCACCAAGGCGACGAUACGUAGCCGACCUGAGAGGGUGAUCGGCCACACUGGGACUGAGACACGGCCCAGACUCCUACGGGAGGCAGCAGUAGGGAAUCUUCCGCAAUGGACGAAAGUCUGACGGAGCAACGCCGCGUGAGCGAAGAAGGCCUUCGGGUCGUAAAGCUCUGUUGUUAGGGAAGAACAAGUAACGCAGUAACUGGCGUUACCGUGACGGUACCGAACGAGAAAGCCACGGCUACUACGUG
rnacentral:rRNA from 1 species